rnacentral:rRNA from 1 species
UCGGGUCAUUGCCUCAGUAACGGCGAGUGAAGCGGCAACAGCUCAAAUUUGAAAUCUGGCCCCAGGCCCGAGUUGUAAUUUGCAGAGGAUGCUUUUGGUGCGGUGCCUUCCAAGUUCCCUAGAACGGGACGCCAGAGAGGGUGAGAGCCCCGUACAGUUGGACACCAAGCCUUUGUAAAGCUCCUUCGACGAGUCGAGUAGUUUGGGAAUGCUGCUCAAAAUGGGAGGUAUAUUUCUUCUAAAGCUAAAUACCGGCCAGAGACCGAUAGCGCACAAGUAGAGUGAUCGAAAGAUGAAAAGCACUUUGAAAAGAGGGUUAAACAGCACGUGAAAUUGUUAAAAGGGAAGCGCUUGUGACCAGACUUGCGUCCGGUGAAUCACCCAGCUCUCGCGGCUGGGGCACUUCGCCGGCUCAGGCCAGCAUCAGCUCGCUGUCGGGGACAAAAGCUUCAGGAACGUAGCUCUCUUCGGGGAGUGUUAUAGCCUGUUGCACAAUACCCUUCGGCGGGCUGAGGUACGCGCUCCGCAAGGAUGCUGGCAUAAUGGUCAUCAGCGACCCGUCUUGAAACAC